AAAGAUGGGUAACAAAAUAUAUAUUGAUCACUUCCUACUUCCACACAAGUAACAUAAAUUCUUUAUACAAUCCUUUGGGCCUCAUGUGCUCCACUUUCAGUUGCUGGCACACCAUGCACUUAGCCACUAAAAUAGCCAUAUCCCACUUCAUAUUGUUCUACUAAUACAUCUCCUUAAGGUCAUAAUACAUUUUAAUCAAACCAGGAUGAAAAGUAAAGUGUGACUCAUACUC
rnacentral:lncRNA from 1 species